rnacentral:lncRNA from 1 species
GUGUUAUUUCAUGAUAGACAUGAAAAGUAUACUUAUAUUAUCUAAGUGGACACUCGUGAAAGGUUAUCAUGUCUAGCUGAGUUGCAAUCAUUGUAAAUUUAUUUGUCUUUUUAAUAAUUUAAACUUCUUUAAUUCUAUGCAGCUAUAUAACAAUUGGAAGUUUUAAGGAACCUUGUUUAACUAUACUGCCCUAGUACACUCAUUAAAUAUAUAUAAGAAAGUGUUUAACAACCUUGACUGGCUUUACAGCCCUUACACAGUUGGCUCGGUGCUGUAAGGCAUUUAGUUAGCUCAAAGUCA